rfam:Schistosoma haematobium scaffold3681_1, whole genome shotgun sequence.
AUUCAACUGACGAGCCCCAAAUAGGACGACACGUGCAUCCUGGAU